UUUGACUUAGUGAUUAACUUAAUCAUUUUAUUAAUUAAUUAUUUUUAAUAAUUAUUUGACUUUGUUGGAUUUUGAUGUGCUUAUUUGUUUUGAUUAGAUUGUUUCUCCGUCCAUGUUCAUAGGACAUUGUAAAACAUUUUAGUUUUCGUUGUUCUUUCUAUUGCGUUGUGAUAUCGGAAUAUAAAUCCAAUUUAACUUUUGAAAAUUGCUUGGAUGCAUAGAUUUU
rnacentral:lncRNA from 1 species